UAGGGAAUCUUCGGCAAUGGGGGCAACCCUGACCGAGCAACGCCGCGUGAGUGAAGAAGGUCUUCGGAUCGUAAAACUCUGUUGUUAAAGAAGAACACGUAUGAGAGUAACUGUUCAUACGUUGACGGUAUUUAACCAGAAAGUCACGGCUAACUACGUGCCAA
rnacentral:rRNA from 1 species